rnacentral:tRNA from 1 species
GGCUUGGUAGUCCAGUGGUAAGAUGCUUGCUUUGGGUGCAAGCGACCCCGGUUCGAUUCCGGGCCAAGCCC